rnacentral:rRNA from 1 species
GUCUUUUUGAUAAUAAUUUAAAGUCUAGCCUGCCCACUGAUAAUUUAAAUGGCCGCGGUAUUUUGACCGUGCUAAGGUAGCAUAAUCAUUAGUUUUUUUAUUGAAAGCUGGAAUGAAGGGUUGGAUGAGAAAAAAACUGUCUCUUAAUUAUUUUGUAAGAAUUUUAUUUUUAAGUAAAAAGGCUUAAAUUUGUUUGAAAGACGAGAAGACCCUAUAGAGUUUUAUAUAAUAAUAUAUUUUAAUAAUUAGGAUUUAGUGUUUAAAAAUUUAUUUUAUAUUUAGUUGGGGUGACUAGAAAAUUUAAUAAACUUUUUUUUAUAAUUUCAUUGAUAUAUGAAUAUAUGAUCCAUAUUUUGUGAUUAAAAGAAAAAAUUACCUUAGGGAUAACAGCGUAAUUUUUUUUGAGAGUUCUUAUCGAUAGAAAAGAUUGCGACCUCGAUGUUGGAUUAAAAUUAAUUUUUGGUGUAGAAGCUAAUAAAUUUAGGUCUGUUCGACCUUUAAAAUUU